UGCGUAGGCGGAAGUGUAAGUCAGGGGUGAAAGUUUGCGGCUCAACCGUAAAAUUGCCUUUGAUACUGCAUUUCUUGAGUACAUUCGAGGUAGGCGGAAUGUGUCAUGUAGCGGUGAAAUGCUUAGAUAUGCCACAGAACACCGAUUGCGAAGGCAGCUUACUAGACUGUAACUGACGCUGAUGCACGAAAGCGUGGGGAUCGAACA
rnacentral:rRNA from 1 species